UUUGGAAGGUAAUUAGGUCAUGAGGGUGGAGCCCUCAUAAAUGAGAUUAGUGCCCUUAUAAAAGGGACUCCAGAAAGCUCCCUCAUCUUCAUUCCCCUAUGUAAGGAUACAGUAAGAUGGCCAUCUAUGAACCAGGAAGCAGGCUGUAAGAGAUGCUGAAUCUGCUGGCACCUUGAUCUUGGACUUCCCAGUCUCCAGAACUAGGAGAAAUAAAUGUUGCUUAAGCUGCAGAAUCUAUGACUCCUUCUAUGUUAGAUAUGCAUUAGCGGGUAAGUUAGCGUGAAGCUGGAACUAGCGAAUCAACAGAAAGAUAAGGGAAUUGUGUUAUAAGAGGUUAAAUAAUGCCUAAAGUCAC
rnacentral:lncRNA from 1 species